CAUGGACGCCCCCGCCCCGGCCCUGUCCGCUGCUGCCGCCCCCACCCUGGCCCGCCAAGUUUGGUCCUACCCUGGUGAAUUUAAAAGCAAAGAUGCUGCUGGUCAAGUUCGUGGUUCCCCUAAUGAAUUUCCUGGGAUUGGUGCUACAUCUCCUCUUCUUUGGUUAACUAGAGGGUUUGUGAUUCUGUCUGGUCCGACAAUCCCAAUUAUCGGUGAAGGCGAUGAAGAGGCCAAUGACAGAUAUGUGGAACAACUAGUAGUGCAAGUGACCCAAACUUCUUCAGUGAGAGUCAGACCGAUUCUUCAAUGCCUUGAAAGCAUUGUCUCCUUUGGUAAUACUUCCUUUUGAGAGCCAUGGGUACUCUGCCAAGGAGAGUAUCAUGCACGUCCUCUAGGAGACUGAUAGGUGGUUGCAGAACUACCGUGUAAAUGGUACUAGCAAGGUUGACUCAGUGUCAGAGGCUAACAGUAAAAAUAAAACAUUGUCAGCUAAUGGUGGCAGUGUAGCCCGUGAAGGUCUAAACCCUGAGGAACUCUCAUCAUUACCAAGAUCGCUUCUGUGGUAAAUUUUUUCCUUGGUUGCUGCUUCUCAAGAAGAAAAAAGAUACACUUUUCUGUUUGUUUGUCUGUUGGGUUAAUUGGCGCUCCUGAUAUUGACCGUCGUAAGGCGUCAGUUGUACCCAGUCUAUUUUGGACCUUGUUCCUUUCUAUUUUUAAUAUAAUGAUACACAGCUCUCCUAUGUGUUCGAGAAAAAAAGAUAUUGUCUUAUGUAGUAUUUGUGAUACCUGCUUUAAAGCUCACUAUACAGACUGAAAAAAAAUCUCAUCUCCUUAAUUAUCUUAUAUCAAAGUUCCCACACGGAGCAGGUUCUGUUUAUAUGGAUUUUUGUAUGUAAGAUUGCAUUGUUCUUUUGUAUGAGGCUGCAUAUGGCGAGGCGAUGUCUAGUCAGCACAGACCAGACUAUGAUUGGAGGAUCUCACCUAUUGAACCACAGGUUGUGUAUGCAAGUGGUGGAAAAGCUCAUGGAAGGUACACAAUGUUUGCUAACGUCAUUGACUCGAGCUAGGUGAGGGUUCAGCGUGGAGGUUCAUCGAGGCCUGCUGCUCGUAGCUCCCGUCGCUCCACUCAAGAUCCAGCAGAAGUGGAGCAACUACGAGAAGAACUUAGGCGACAUCAGGAUUACUUGAAGCAACAAGCUGCGCAACGUGAAUAUUAUGCUACACAGAUUCAACAACAGCAAACACUCAUACAACAACUAGCACAGGCCCAAGGGAUACACGUCCCGAUGCCCCCUCCACCACCUCCCGUUCAUUAUCCUUGGUCUUCACCUCCACCUAUACCUACAUAUCCAUCUAUCGAACAUCAGACCCCUUCAGCUACCUUGUCGAUGCAUGAA